GAUGAACGCUAGCGGCAGGCUUAACACAUGCAAGUCGAGGGGCAGCAUGAGACGGAGAUUCGUCGAAGUCUUGAUGGCGACCGGCGCAAGGGUGCGUAACGCGUGAGCAACUUGCCCGUUUCUGGGGAAUAACCGGUGGAAACGCCGACUAAUACCCCAUAGUAUUGACUUUGGGCAUCCUUAGUCAAUUAAAGAAUUUCGGAAACGGAUAGGCUCGCGUGACAUUAGCUUGAUGGCGGGGUAACGGCCCACCAUGGCUACGAUGUCUAGGGGUUCUGAGAGGAAGGUCCCCCACACUGGAACUGAGACACGGCCCAGACUCCUACGGGAGGCAGCAGUGGGGAUAUUGCACAAUGGGCGCAAGCCUGAUGCAGCGAGGCCGCGUGAAGGUCACGGCCCUAUGGGUCUUAAACUUCUUUUGUAAGGGAGCAAUAAGUCUCACGUGUGGGAUGAUGAGAGUACCUUACGAAUAAGCAUCGGCUAACUCCGUGCCAG
rnacentral:rRNA from 1 species